rnacentral:rRNA from 1 species
ACUACGGGUGGCAGCAGUGAGGAAUAUUGGUCAAUGGCCGUAAGGCUGAACCAGCCAAGUCGCGUGAAGGAAGAAGGAUCUAUGGUUUGUAAACUUCUUUUAUAGGGGAAUAAAGGUAUCCACGUGUGGAUAUUUGCAUGUACCCUAUGAAUAAGCAUCGGCUAACUCCGUGCCAGCAGCCGCGGUAAUACGGAGGAUGCGAGCGUUAUCCGGAUUUAUUGGGUUUAAAGGGUGCGUAGGUUGUUUUUUAAGUCAGCGGUGAAAGUUUGUGGCUCAACCAUAAAAUUGCAGUUGAGACUGGCAGACUUGAGUGUGUUUGAGGUAGGCGGAAUGCGUGGUGUAGCGGUGAAAUGCAUAGAUAUCACGCAGAACCCCGAUUGCGAAGGCAGCUUACUAAGCCAUAACUGACACUGAAGCACGAAAGCGUGGGGAUCAAACAGGAUUAGAUACCCCAGUAGUC